AAGCAGUUUACAGAGUAAGCAUAUUGCCCCAAACAAUCUGGAUCCUCAUUUUACUGACUUCAGAAGUAUGGAAAGCUGAAUCAAACUUGAGCCGGUGAGACUCAAACUGCUGAAUUGUGCCCACCUAAAUCCAGCUUUGCCAGAGAAUGACAAACUCAUCCUUCCACCAGUCAACAGCAGGGGUGACCAUCGGUUGAGGACCAGUGAGACAAUUCAGUGAUGUGGUUUUGUAAUUUUGGACUUAAAAAGCAACAUUCCGCACCAGAGUGCAGCCCUCGUAAAAUACGACUGACGUGUUAUCAUAUAAAUGAGGUUGCUUUGACAUGAUAGCGCUUUCAUAAAUCCAAAGGGAAGAUUUGGAGACAAGAUAUGUCAAAAGUAAAACCAGCUCUGUCUCUUAAUCUUUGACAUAAACUGUUUAUGUUUUCUGAAUUCAACAAUCAUAAUGUGAUAGGUUGGCUUUGAUGAUUUGCAGACGAAAUGGAGGAGUUCUCCAGCACCCCCCCCCCUCCUCCGAGUUCAUUUCAAAGCCUGAUGGCACCAAAAGGAGACUAAGAUUUAGUCCGAAAAAGAGCAAACUGGACAAAUGCAGCAACCAGCCUUAGGAGACAGGGAAGAUAAUGAACUGAGUUAUUCUGGCUACUUGCAUCUAACAGUUACAGAUUGCCUAAUGCUGGGAAAGAUUGAAGGCAAUAGAAGAAUGGCACAACAGAGAAUGAGGGGGCUGGAUGGAGUCACUGAAGAAGUAGAUGGGAGCUUAAAUGGACUCCAGAAGAUGGUAGAGGACAGGAAGACCAGGAGGAACAUUGUCCAUGGGGUCACGAUGGGUCGGACACGACUUCGCAACUAACAACAACAACAACAACAAAGGAUGGAAAGAUCUUAACAAGUCUGAAUGCAAGACAAUGGAGAGUGAUACUUUGAUCCUUUCAGAGAAGAAGACUUAAGAGUUUUGCUCUUAAGAGGCUGUCUUUAAAAUCCUAUAUUUCCCUGGAUGGCUCAACUGGGAUUCAGAAGAAGCAUGAAACAGGCUGAUCUUCUUUCGUCUUCUUCAUGUUAAAGACAGCUCUAUGAUUUUGGCUCAUUAAGAGAGAAAUAAUUACAAUCAAUUUAGUUUUGAAUGAGCACUUAACAAACUGUUACACAUCCAUAAAUUGAUAUACAUUUUAUCAUAAAGUGGAUAGAAAAGGAGUGAGAUUUAAAAAAUAGAUUUAAUAGAUUUGUUCAUCUUCGGAAGAUGUCAAAAAUUCAAUGGAAACAUGGCUUCAGUUUAUCCAUUGUAAAGCAAAAUCUCAUAGAAAGGGAGAGGGAAGUCCAUUAAAUCCCAAAGUCCAUCAUUUGUGAUCAAUUACAGGUUUGCAUAAUGAUGCCAUAAAAAUGUUAUAUCAUUGCCCAAAUGACAUACUAUUUUAUCAGGACAGUGAUCAGGCAAUUGUUUCUUUUGGAUCCAAAGACAAUAACACACCAGUAAAUUAAACUAUUCUAAGUUUUCUUAUUAACUCAAGGACACAGAUUUAAAAGGAUAACAUAACAAGCACCCAUACCAACCAAGAAAAUUGGGGUCUUGGUUUAUUAGAGGGGAUUUUGUAUUAUUAAUUAGAGGGUUAAAGGGAGAAGUUGAGAUAAGGGGAAUUCUGGUCAUUAGAUUUAAAAUAUUUGGAAAUUAGUUGAA